rnacentral:rRNA from 1 species
UAUUUAUAUUUAUUUUAUUAAUAUAAUUUUUUAUAUUUUUUAUUUUAUAAAAAUAAUUUAUUUAUUUUAUGUUUUAGUAUUAAUUAAAAAUUAAUUUUAAGAUUUAUAGUUUAAAAGUAUUGUGAAAGAAUUAAUUAAAUUUUUAAAAGAAUAUAUUUAUAGUACCUUUUGUAUCAGGGUUAAUUAAAAUUUUUAAUUUAUUUUUAAAUUCUCAAAAUUUAUAGAGUUAAUUUUAUUAUUAAGUUAUUGUAAUAUAAAUAUUUAAAAAAUAAUUUUAGUUUUGAAAUUUAAUUCGUUAUAUUAUAUUUAGUUAUUUAAGAUUUAAAUUUAAUUUAAAAUUUUAAAAGUUAUAUUAAUUUAAUUUAUUAUAUAUUUUAAAUUUAAAUUAUUUUAGGGAUAAGCUUGAAAUUUUUAUAAAAUAAAUUUUUUUUAUUAAUAAUUUAUAGGAAUAGAAAUUUUUAUUUAAGUUUGUAAAAAUUUAUUAUUUAUUUAAAAUUUUGAUUUAUUAUAAUUUAUUUAUUUUUAUUAUUAAAUUGUAUUAAUUAAUAUUAUAUUUUUAGUAAUAAUGAUUAAAUUAGUAUAAUUUUAAAUUAUAAAUUAUGAAUUUGGCAAAAAUUAUUUUCAUCUGUUUAACAAAAACAUUGUAUUAAGUUUUAUUUAAUAUAGAAUCUGCUCAAUGAUUAAUUAAAUAGCUGCAGUAUUUUGACUGUGCAAAGGUAGCAUAGUAAUUAGUCUUUUAAUUGAGGACUUGAAUGAAUGAUUUGAUGAAAAAUAAACUUUAUUAUUUAUAAAAUUAAAAUUUUAUUUUUAAGUAAAAAAGCUUAAAUUUUUUAAAGGGACGAUAAGACCCUAUAAAACUUUAUAAAUAUUAUUUUUUAAAAUUUUGGUUAAAUAAUUAUUUAAUUUAUAUUAUUUAUUUUGUUGGGGUGAUAAAAAAAAUUAAUAAACUUUUUUUAAAAUUUUACAUUAUUUUAUGAUUUAUUGAAUUAAAAUUUUUAGUUAUAAGAAAAAGUUACUUUAGGGAUAACAGCGUAAUUGAUUUUUUAAGUUCAAAUUUAAAAAUUAGU